rnacentral:lncRNA from 1 species
AGGUAUAUUCAAUUCUUACACCGACGCUAAUGCCGUUAAUGUUACCUUUUCCGGCCACUUCACGGCUCUCUUUUCGGUCGUUACUCAAGAAAACAGCAACCAUUGGGUUUCUGGCUGUCCACAGUCUCCGUCCGCGGCGAUCCGCGUCGGAGUGGCGGGGGGAGGACGCGGCGUCCGAGAACGCCGCGUUUGUUUCCUUGCCCGAUUAGGUGCCGCGGUUUUGGGCGGAUGGUUUUCACGUGAUUUUGGCGUCGAAACCGGAGGCGGUGACGGAAAAGAAUCGUUUUCUUUUUCGUGUGUCGUGGCAUCCUACGAGCCGUUUGAUUCCCCCUUGUUUCGUGUUUUGGUGUAGAUGGAUUGUCUUUUUAUUUUAUUUUAUUAUUUUUCUUUUUACAUCCUCCGAUGAGAACCAAAAUUUAGCCGCUGAAGUCAACAUCAUCCUCGACCCCCUUGAUGAUUGACCCCACCGACUGGUUCUUGCAUCUUACUCUUGGGCUAGGAUGAUGAUGACUUUUCCUUUAUGAAUGUUUGAGCAAGAAUUCUCACAAGAGUUUACCCUCGAUGAAAUCAAUUCUUGUAGGUCACCAAAGAUGACUGCCCCAUCAUCUUCCAUGACGAUCUCAUACUCACCGAAGACGAAGAUGUAAGUCU